UACGUAGGGCGCAAGCGUUGUCCGGAAUUAUUGGGCGUAAAGAGCUCGUAGGCGGUCUGUUGCGUCCGCUGUGAAAACUCGGGGCUUAACCCCGAGCCUGCAGUGGAUACGGGCAGACUAGAGGUAGGUAGGGGAGAAUGGAAUUCCUGGUGUAGCGGUGAAAUGCGCAGAUAUCAGGAGGAACACCGGUGGCGAAGGCGGGUCUCUGGGCCGAUACUGACGCUGAGGAGCGAAAGCGUGGGGAGCGAACAGG
rnacentral:rRNA from 1 species